UAAGGUAUAUCUCACUCAGCUUAAGCUGACCCCGUGGUUUUUAAACAUUUCAGGUACUUAGACUUGGAGUGACUAGAAGUCUAUCGUUUUGCCGGGAGUCUGUCUUGCCAUGUACUUAGACUUGGAGUGACUAGAAGUCUAUCGUUUUGCCGGGAGUCUGUCUUGCCAUGUACAGUCCGACUUCCGUGACCGCUGCAGUAGUACUUUGUGUGACCAGUCAUGACCUAGGACAAUAUUAUAGUUUUGGAAAAUGUUUAUAACGAUGUUAGAUUUACGUAGCCAGUGUUUACAAAAUAACUAUUAAUGUUUUCAUAAUUAAAUGCUUCCGUGUUAUAACAUAA